UACGUAGGGUGCGAGCGUUGUCCGGAAUUAUUGGGCGUAAAGAGCUUGUAGGCGGUUUGUCGCGUCUGCCGUGAAAAUCCGGGGCUCAACCCCGGACUUGCGGUGGGUACGGGCAGACUAGAGUGUGGUAGGGGAGACUGGAAUUCCUGGUGUAGCGGUGAAAUGCGCAGAUAUCAGGAGGAACACCGGUGGCGAAGGCGGGUCUCUGGGCCGAUACUGACGCUGAGGAGCGAAAGCCAGGGGAGCGAACGGG
rnacentral:rRNA from 1 species